ACCUUCAGCACAGAAGGUGGUGAUGUGGCAAGCCCAGGCUUGCUCCCUGGCGCCUGCUUAGCCCUGUUUCUCUGCCAGGGGAAGAUUCCGGCAGUGCGGCCUCCUCCAGGAUCUGCCCCAUCAGUCUCUUCCUGACUGUAUCUCCAGGGGUGGGUUGGGGUGGGGUGAUUUGGCCUGAAAGAACCGUGUGGAAAGAGGGAAUUGUCUGUCAAAAUGUUCUAGAAAGCUGGGCAGCUUAUGAAACCAAUGGAGGAGUCUUCACUGCUGCUUCACAGUACUGGGCAGUGGAGUCAGCCAGACCUUUCUUUAUCUCACCAGGCAUCUGAGAGGUGGGUCGUCCCCGCUGUAGUGCUGUUUCUGGGCCCCAGUUGAUGUCUUAACUUGCUUUUCUCUAUUUCAGGUCUCGAAAUCUCUCUAAUUCACACACAUCAUUCCCAAAUCCCAGAAACAAACUAUGGUAGAUUUUAUUUUUCAAAAAAGAGUGGGAUCCAUUCGCUUUUGAAGGCCAUGGUGGGAGGAUUGCCUAGAGGCCAGGAGUUCGAGACCAGCCUGGGAAACACAGCAAGACCCUG
rnacentral:lncRNA from 1 species